GACGUAGGGCGCGAGCGUUGUCCGGAAUUAUUGGGCGUAAAGAGCGUGUAGGCGGUCCGGUAAGUCAGCUGUGAAAGUCAAGGGCUCAACCCUUGAAAGCCGGUUGAUACUGUCGGGCUAGAGUCCGGAAGAGGCGAGUGGAAUUCCCGGUGUAGCGGUGAAAUGCGCAGAUAUCGGGAGGAACACCAAUGGCGAAGGCAGCUCGCUGGGACGGUACUGACGCUGAGACGCGAAAGCGUGGGGAGCAAACAGG
rnacentral:rRNA from 1 species